GGGCAGCCCCCCCCUCCGCGCGCCCCCGCCCCGCGCGCGCGCCGCGCGCCCCACUAGCGCUCUGCGCGCGCCGCAGGCUGUAGCCGGCCGGGGUCGCAGCACGCCUCCCCGCUCCGCCCCCUCGCGCGCCGCCCGGCGCCCCGCGCACGCGCGCCGCCCCCUGCUCCUUCAGCGAGGGUCUGCGGGGAGCGCGCGUCCAACGGUCAGCGCCCCUCAGUGCACAGUCCCAGCGGCCUCGCUGGGCCGGCGCCUCCCGACCAAGUCUCUACGGUCGCCCUCCCCUCGGGGUGGCCACGAGGGACUCCUCCUCCUCUUCCUCCUCCCCUCCCUCCCCCUCGGUCUCCGCCUCCUCCUUCUCCUCCUCCUUCACUGCCCCGACCUCCCGCCCCAGGUUCCACGCGCUCUGAUGCCCGCCCCGCUCACCCAGAGAAGCCCUGGGCCAGACGUCCACAACCCAAGGGGUUAUGGGGAGGCCUCUGCUCCCUGGACACAGUAGUUCUCAAACUGGACAGUGUCAAUCAGCAUCCUCCGGGAGGUCUGGGGUGGCCCCGGAAAUACAUGUGUCCCACCUAUCCCAGCAGGUAAUGAUGAAACUCCUGCUCUGGUCCGGGCUACCGGUGAACAGCGCCCAGCGGGCCGGGCCCCCAACCUCGCUCCUGAGCCUGAACAUCCCCCCAACCCCACCGUGAGAAUUCAGCGAAGAGUAAAAGCUGGAAAAAGUUGCGUGUCUUAGGCUAAGCAGAACAAAGUGGGGUGACGGCUCCCCGGCUAGGAACAGAGAUGCCCUUAGGGAGCCCUCUGAUGGAAGAGCUCUCCGCUUAAGAAGGUCACCACUCCCUUACACUCAGCCCCCCUCAAUCUGAUUCCCUGCUAUGCCUGCCAUCACCACUGGCCAGUUUUACCACAUGCUUCUCAAGACCCAAGGCACAAUAGGCAUAAAGUUGUCCUGAAAAGGACAAGAGGAGUGUCAGAAGUAGGAAUGGCAGUUGAAGGAGCUUCGUCUGCCAGCAGAAAGCUGAAAUGACAGGAAGACAGAAUGUCUUGUCAAGGGUCACCCCAGGAGGAGGAGUAAAUUCCCCAAAAAGCGGAACAUAUUUUUAUGAUUUAAUUAAUACAAUUUCUCUCAAUGUGUCUGUUUAUCAUUUGAGCAUCCACAUGAUCAGACCUGACAUCUGCCUACAUUUUCUUGGUCGUCUUUGACUUCAGUUAAGAACCUUUUGCUCUUUGUUUUCCCCCAGCAGCACAGUAUAUUAAGUUUGGAACAAGACACACCUGAAAUCAAAUCCCUGCUCUGUGCUGGGUGAUCUUAGAGGCAGUCUUUUACCUCUUUCUACUUUAUUGUUCUCAUAGGAAAAGUGGAAAUGAGGCCUUUUACCCCAGGGUUGUUGAGAAGACAGAGGAGAAAAAGCACAUAAAAAUGCACCUUGUCGGGCGUGGGGCUCACACCUGUAAUCCCAGCACUUUGGGAGGCUGAGGCAGGUGUAUCGCUUGAGGCCAGGAGUUCAAGACCAGCCUGGCCAACAGGAAAAAUACAUUAAAAAUAAUGUCUCUAUUAAAAAUACAAAAAUUAGCCAGGUAUGGUGGUGCACGCCUGUAAUCCCAGCUACUCAGGAGGCUGAGGCAGAAGAAUCGCUUGAACCCAGGAAGCGAAAGCUGCAGUGAGUCGAGAUCGCAGCACUGGGCAGGCACAGUGGCUCACACCUGUAAUCCCAGUACUUUGGGAGGCUGAGGUGGGUGGAUCACAAGGUCAGGAGAUGGAGACCAUCCUGGCUAACACGAUGAAACUGUAUCUCUACUAAAAAUACAAAAACAAAAUAAGCUGGGCGUGGUGGCGGGCGCCUGUAGUCCCAGCUACCUGGGAGGCUGAGGCAGGAGAAUGGCAGGAACCCGGGAGGCAGAGCUUGCCGUCAGCCAAGAUUGCACUGCUGCACUCCAGCCUGGGCAAGAGAGCAAGACCCUGUCUCAAAAAAAAAAAAAAAAAAAAAAAAAGCAUUUUGCCUGGCACCCAGUAGAUCCUCAAUAAAGGUCAUGGCACUUCCUCUAUUUAUUUUGCUUCAUUUUACCCUGGCAUGCUAGAGAAGAUACUGAAACUAGUUGUUCACAGUCAUUACACUUGAAGCAGGAAGACCCCUUACCAAAAAUAACAUCUCCCUAGGGCAUUUCUAGGAACCAAAAUGGCAAAAACAUUUGCAUCUAUAAACAUGAGCAAUUACUCUUUUGGCAGAAAGACCAAGGAGUCCAAAAUUUGGUCCUCUAACUGAGGCCCCUACACCAUUUGAGUCAGCUGACUCAAUUACCCAGGGGUAUUUUUUUCUGGUGUUCAUAGUGUAUGAAUUUCUGUUCCCUGGCUGUCUCUUUGGUUGUCUCACUUUCUCCACCCCCUCUUCUUUCCCUUUUUCUUGACUCUCUUGAUACUGAACAGCUUUUUGUGUUCACUGCAAACAAAAGGGGUUAAUGACAGUGAUGAUGAAGUUGUCAUAACUGACCUGCUGGAUCCUGUUACUAAACACCAUCCCCAGCCUGUAAUCAUCACAAAGAACAGAAAAAACAAAUAGCAACCCAUUUGUACUUAGCUAAUAAUGCUCCCUUGCAAAUAAUUAUGUCUCCCACCCCCAGAGGAUUUAAAUGACUUGGGGCUCACGCUGCUUGUGAUAAUAGACAAAACUCCAGCGUUCCCACAAGAUUAAUAAUGUUCCCUUUUCUUCUUUUCUAUGCCUUUCCAUCGUUACAGGAGAUGUUGCUGAGAUGGGUGCAUUAAAGUUUAGGCUUUCCAGAGUUUAUAUUGCUAACAACUUGAAAGGAAAAAAGCUAACUAGAGAACUGACUGGUCUUAUUUGUUUUAGAUUCUGGGCUUUACUAAGACUUCCUACUCUCAGAAUCUCUGGACUAUAAACGCUGGGUGGGGUGGGAGCUGGGAAUGUUAUUCUGGAAAAUUAAUCACAAAUGAAAAGAAAAUCAACUCUAAGACUCCAGUUAGAAGAUUUUUGAAAAUGGCAGAACAUGACUGGCCUUCAUUCAAGUCAGAAUAUUUAAAGCAAUCCUUGCUAAGAAGAACUUGAUUUUGUAUAAGCAGUCCCUUAAAUACAGUUGCUUCUCAAGAAAACCACACACAAUUGAUGUUUGAAUGGCUUUAUUUACAAACAUCUCACUCCGUAAGCCUCUGCAGGUAUUUCUAGCCUCCCAGGGGCCACUGUCCCGUUUCACCUGUAAUUUGGAUCACAAUUCUGUUUGUUGUCACACACAUCAUAUGAACUGCUUUUCAUGCUGCUUUUAUCCACAAAGCUUUACAAGCUUUAAUGGCAGCUCUAUGUAUGACAACUUUAUAAAGAUCUGCCAAAAGGUAUGAUGCCA
rnacentral:lncRNA from 1 species